rnacentral:rRNA from 1 species
GGGCACGGGGGGAGGAAUUGGCGGGGGAGCNCCGCAACGGGAGGAGCGUGCGGUUUAAUUGGAUUCAACACCGGAAAACUCACCAAGGGCGACUAUUACAUGAAAGCCAGGCUAAUGACCUUGCUUGAUUUUUAGAGAGGUGGUGCAUGGCCGUCGUCAGUUCGUACCGUAAGGCGUUCUCUUAAGUGAGAUAACGAACGAGACCCUCAUCUAUAAUUGCUACUUCAUUCUCCGGAAUGGAGGCACAUUAUCGAGACCGCUGGCGCUAAGUCAGAGGAAGGAGAGGUCAACGGUAGGUCAGUAUGCCCCGAAUCUCUUGGGCUACACGCGCGCUACAAAGGGCGGGACAAUGGGCUACGACGCCGAAAGGCGAAGUCAAUCUCGAAACCCGUCCGUAGUUCGGAUUGAGGCUUGUAACUCANCCUCAUGAAGCUGGAUUCCGUAGUAAUCGCGAAUCAAAAACUCGCGGUGAAUAUGCCCCUGCUCCUUGCACACACCGC